rnacentral:rRNA from 1 species
UACGGAGGGUGCGAGCGUUGUCCGGAAUCAUUGGGCGUAAAGGGCGCGUAGGUGGCCCGGUCAGUUCGUGGUGAAAGCGCGGGGCUCAACCCUGCGUCGGCCAUGAAUACUGCCGCGGCUGGAGCACUGUAGAGGCAGGCGGAAUUCCGGGUGUAGCGGUGAAAUGCGUAGAUAUCAGGAGGAACACCUGCGGUGUAGACGGCUUUCUGGACCAUUGUUGACGCUGAAACACGAAAGCGUGGGUAGCAAACAGG